GAAAGUUAGAAAAGAACAAGCCACGGAAAGCAAGAGCAAGUGACACAAUUCUGUCAGAUAAAAUUAGGAGGCUUCUCUCAGUUGUAUGUCAGCAACAUCAAUGAAGAGUGACCGUUCAAUGGAUUCCCCUCGUUAUUUCAAAGAGAGAGAAAAGGUCUCUCAGCCAAAAGCAGAAACAGGAGAACCAUGUGACAUCUGCUCUGAGCGCAAAGCCAUGAAGCUUUGUCUGACCUGCUCUGUCUACUACUGUGAGAAACACAUGAGGAAGCACUUCAUAAUACAAGCACUGAGGAGACACGUCAUGGUGGAUGUCACUGAAGAAGUCGUACUACAGAGAAACACCUUGGAGAAGAAGAGGAGAGAGGAGCAGGAGGAAGAGGGAAGGAGACAGGGACAGGAGGAGGGGCUGAGGUGGCAGACGAGGAAGGAGGACUUUAGGGAAGAGGAGAGGGGGCACCAGGAGGCUGCGGAACAACAGUGCAGAGAGAAGGAGAGGAAGAGAGAGAUGGAGAAGGAGAGGGAGAGAGAGAGGGA